UGUAAAGGGCGUGUAGGCGGGAUAGCAAGUCAGUCGUGAAAUACCGAGGCUCAACUUCGGAGCUGCGAUUGAAACUGUUAUUCUUGAGUAUCGGAGAGGAAAGCGGAAUCCCAGUGUAGCGGUGAAAUGCGUAGAUAUUGGGAGGAACACCAGUGGCGAAGGCGGCUUUCUGGACGACAACUGACGCUGAGGCGCGAAAGUGUGGGGAGCAAACAGGAUUAGAUACCCUGGUAGUCCACACCGUAAACGAUGGAUACUAGGUGUAGGAGGUAUCGACUCCUUCUGUGCCGCAGUAAACACAAUAAGUAUCCCACCUGGGGAGUACGACCGCAAGGUUGAAACUCAAAGGAAUUGACGGGGGCCCGCACAAGCAGUGGAGUAUGUGGAUUAAUUCGAAGCAACGCGAAGAACCUUACCUGGUCUUGACAUCCCGAUGCCCGGUGUAGAGAUACACCUUUUCUUCGGAACAUCGGUGACAGGUGGUGCAUGGUUGUCGUCAGCUCGUGUCGUGAGAUGUUGGGUUAAGUCCCGCAACGAGCGCAACCCCUAUUGUUAGUUGCCAUCAUUCAGUUGGGCACUCUAGCGAGACUGCCGGUGACAAAUCGGAGGAAGGUGGGGACGACGUCAAAUCAUCAUGCCCCUUAUGACCAGGGCCUCACACGUACUACAAUGGCCGAUAACAAAGUGCAGCAAAACCGUAAGGUGGAGCGAAUCACAAAACUCGGUCUCAGUUCGGAUUGUGGGCUGAAACCCGCCCACAUGAAGUUGGAAUUGCUAGUAAUCGC
rnacentral:rRNA from 1 species